rnacentral:tRNA from 1 species
GGAGGGUACAGCUCAGCAGUAGAGCGCGUGCUUCACAUGCACGAGGUCCUGGGUUCAACCCCCAGUCCUCCA